GAUGAAGAACGUAGCAAAAUGCGAUAAGUAAUGUGAAUUGCAGAAUUCAGUGAAUCAUCGAAUCUUUGAACGCACAUUGCGCCCGCCAGUAUUCUGGCGGGCAUGCCUGUUCGAGCGUCAUUUCAACCCUCAAGCACAGCUUGGUGUUGGGACUCGCGUUAAUUCGCGUUCCCCAAAUUGAUUGGCGGUCACGUCGAGCUUCCCUAGCGUAGUAGUAAAACCCUCGUUACUGGUAAUCGUCGCGGCCACGCCGUUAAACCCCAACUUCUGAAUGUUGACCUCGGAUCAGGUAGGAAUACCCGCUGAACUUAAGCAUAUCAAUAAGCGGAGGA
rnacentral:misc_RNA from 1 species